AAAAAAUGAACACGUGCAGACUCUUUCUCUUUUUCUCCUCUUUUAAUUUUACCCAAUUGAAGGAAAAGGAAAGGAGGACAAUGACGACUCGUCCGAGUUGCAUGACUCAGUGGCUCACUCCGGUGAGGGAGGGACAAGGGAGAGCAGCGAGGUGCAGAGCUCGACGAUGUGGAAGAGGAAGACGCGGCGGAGGAAGGAGGUUUCAAGCGGCGAUAGUGACGAUGAUGUUUGAUCUGGGUUUAUUAUUAUUGUGUUUGAUGGUGUUAGGGAAGACCGAAGAGGCUUCGAUUCAUAUUUU
rnacentral:lncRNA from 1 species